rnacentral:sRNA from 1 species
UGUGUUUCAGAAAUUAAGUGUUUCUACUUACUAAGGGCUUUGAAGGCUCUUGGUCUUGUUUAACCUAAAUUUCUA